UAGGAUUCCCUCAGUAAUGGCGAAUGAACAGGGAACAGCUCACCAUGGAAAUUGUGGCCUUCUGGCCAUGAAUUGUAAUUUCAAGAUGUAUCGCUAACGAGGGCGUAGGUGUAAGCCUCUUGGAAAAGAGCAUCAGCGAGGGUGAGAAUCCCGUUUGUCACAUACAGCCCCUCGUGUUCGGCAUACGAUCUUUGAGUCACGUUCCUCGGGAUUGGAGCGCAAAGUGGGUGGUAAAUUUCAUCUCAAGCUAAAUAUGGGUUCGAAACCGAUAGCAAACAAGUACCCUGAGGGAAAGAUGAAAAGGACUUUGAAAAGAGAGUUAAAAGUGCCUGAACUUGCUGAAAGGAAAGCGGAUGGAACCACCCACCCUUGGCUAGAUUGUUGCGUGCUUCAGUGACUGUUUUCUGGGUGAGCGCAAGCUGCCCAGUGAAUCUCGAUCUGGCUGUGCGUGAUGCUUCUAGCCUUGUGCGUCACUAGCUGUGUGAAGGCGGGGAUACCUCUGGGGACAUGGUAGCGCAACUUCGGGGGCGUGAAUGUGCCUAGUAGUGCUCGCUUGCGCACAGUGCAUUUGCUUCAGGUCGCGCUGCCUUCGCGUGAGCUCUCCGCAUAUUCGUGCGGCGUCCUCGCUGUGGGGCGUACCUUCCUGUUGCUUUCUUUAGUGGCGAAAUGGUUCCAUUCGACCCGUCUUGAAACACGGACCAAGGAGUCUAACAUAUGUGCGAGUUCUUGGGUGUCAAACCUACGUGCGCAAUGAAAGUGAGUACUGAGAUAUUAGCAUCAGCAGCCGACCGAUCGAUUGGGAGAGGUUUGAGCAUGAGCAUAUCUGUUAGGACCCGAAAGAUGGUGAACUAUGCCUGAGAAGGGCAAAGUCUGGGGAAACUCAGAUGGAGGCUCGUAGCGGUACUGACGUGCAAAUCGUUCGUCAUACUUGGGUAUAGGGGCGAAAGACUAAUCGAACCAUCUAGUAGCUGGUUCCCUCCGAAGUUUCCCUCAGGAUAGCUGGAGUUGAAUAGUUUUAUCAGGUAAAGCGAAUGAUUAGAGGAAUCGGGGGCGCGUUGCCCUCGACCUAUUCUCAAACUUUAAAUGGGUAAGCUCCAGUUGUUACUUUGUUGAACAUCUGGGAUAAAUUACGAUUCUAAGUGGGCCAUUUUUGGUAAGCAGAACUGGCGAUGAGGGAUGAACCUAACGUUGGGAUAAGGUGCUUAACUGCUCGCUCAUCAGAUACCAUAAAGGGUGUUGGUUCAUUUUAACAGCAGGACGGUGGUCAUGGAAGUCGAAACCCGCUAAGGAGUGUGUAACAACUCACCUGCCGAAUGGACUAGCCCCGAAAAUGGAUGGCGCUUAAGCGGGUGGCCGAUACCCAACCAUUGCUGCAAUUGUGCCGCGGCAAUGAGUAGGAGGGCGUGGGGG
rnacentral:rRNA from 1 species